rnacentral:lncRNA from 1 species
AGGUAUACUUUGGAGGCACAGGAGACAAGAUAAGCUCUGAUGGAGGUAUUAUUUUUGGUCAGAGAGGAGACUGUGAGAUUGUUUCAGGCACUUACUUCAGCAAGAGAGGAUGUUUAUGAUCGAGGUUAGUCAUCUAGAGACAUCAAAUCACAUCUCCUUCUACCUAGUCUGGAUCUUUAUCUUAGAAUUAUCCUAAUCUAUCCUUGCUUAGGAUGCUAGGAUUUCUCUCAUAAAGCUUUAGUAACCCCAGC